rnacentral:rRNA from 1 species
GCCUACGGGGGGCAGCAGUGGGGAAUAUUGCGCAAUGGGCGAAAGCCUGACGCAGCAACGCCGCGUGAGGGAUGAAGGUCUUCGGAUCGUAAACCUCUGUCAGCAGGGAAGAACGGUCACUGUGCUAAUCAGCAGUGAAUUGACGGUACCUGCAAAGGAAGCACCGGCUAACUCCGUGCCAGCAGCCGCGGUAAUACGGAGGGUGCGAGCGUUAAUCGGAAUUACUGGGCGUAAAGCGCUCGUAGGCGGUAUGUCAAGUCAAGGGUGAAAUCCCCGCGCUCAACGUGGGAACUGCCUUUGAAACU